rnacentral:rRNA from 1 species
AUUGAACGCUGGCGGCAGGCUUAACACAUGCAAGUCGAGCGGAGAUGAGGUGCUUGCACCUUAUCUUAGCGGCGGACGGGUGAGUAAUGCUUAGGAAUCUGCCUAUUAGUGGGGGACAACAUUCCGAAAGGAAUGCUAAUACCGCAUACGCCCUACGGGGGAAAGCAGGGGAUCUUCGGACCUUGCGCUAAUAGAUGAGCCUAAGUCGGAUUAGCUAGUUGGUGGGGUAAAGGCCUACCAAGGCGACGAUCUGUAGCGGGUCUGAGAGGAUGAUCCGCCACACUGGGACUGAGACACGGCCCAGACUCCUACGGGAGGCAGCAGUGGGGAAUAUUGGACAAUGGGCGGAAGCCUGAUCCAGCCAUGCCGCGUGUGUGAAGAAGGCCUUUUGGUUGUAAAGCACUUUAAGCGGGGAGGAGGCUACCUGGAUUAAUACUCUAGGAUAGUGGACGUUACUCGCAGAAUAAGCACCGGCUAACUCUGUGCCAGCAGCCGCAGUAA